GAGAGUAACACGUGGGAACGUGCCCUUCAGUUCGGAACAACCCAGGGAAACUUGGGCUAAUACCGGAUACGUCCGUAAGGAGAAAGAUUUAUCGCGGAAGGAUCGGCCCGCGUCUGAUUAGCUAGUUGGUGGGGUAACGGCCCACCAAGGUGACGAUCAGUAGCUGGUCUGAGAGGAUGAUCAGCCUCACUGGGACUGAGACACGGCCCAGACUGCUACGGGAGGCAGCAGUGGGGAAUAUUGGACAAUGGGCGCAAGCCUGAUCCAGCCAUGCCGCGUGGGUGAUGA
rnacentral:rRNA from 1 species